UGGGGAUAACCCCGGGAAACUGGGGAUAAUACCCCAUAGACUAUGGAUGCUGGAAUGCUCUGUAGUUGAAAGGUCAGCCGCCAUAGGAUGGGUCUGCGGCCGAUUAGGUUGUUGUUGGGGUAACGGCCCAACAAGCCUGUAAUCGGUACGGGUUGUGGGAGCGAGAGCCCGGAGAUGGAUUCUGAGACACGAAUCCAGGCCCUACGGGGCGCAGCAGGCGCGAAAACUUUACAAUGCGGGAAACCGUGAUAAGGGAACUCCGAGUGCCCGUUAAAUCGGGCUGUCCAUCUGUGUAAAAAACAGGUGAAGAAAGGGCCGGGCAAGACCGGUGCCAGCCGCCGCGGUAAUACCGGCGGCUCGAGUGGUGGCCACUAUUACUGGGCUUAAAGCGUUCGUAGCUGGUCUGUUAAGUCUCUGGGGAAAUCUACUGGCUUAACCAAUAGGCGUCUCAGGGAUACUGGCAGACUAGGGACCGGGAGAGGUGAGAGGUACUCCAGGGGUAGGAGUGAAAUCCUGUAAUCCUUGGGGGACCACCUGUGGCGAAGGCGUCUCACCAGAACGGCUCCGACAGUGAGGGACGAAAGCUGGGGGAGCAAACCGGAUUAGAUACCCGGGUAGUCCCAGCUGUAAACGAUGCGCGUUAGGUGUAUCGGUGACCACGAGUCAUCGAGGUGCCGAAGAGAAAUCGUGAAACGUGCCGCGUGGGAAGUACGGUCGCAAGG
rnacentral:rRNA from 1 species